AAGUUGGGAGGAUGUCUUUGCAGAAGAAAUGGCCGGCUCUUAGCUAGAGAAGUGCUUUCGAAAGGGAUUGCUAGGAGGACGAUUUUUACAAUGUUUUCUUCCAAUCAGGAAGCGAAUAGGCGGGAUUGCUUUAAUGCAGCUGCUGUCUGUCGCUGAUGCCCGUUGCUUUUUCCCGCUGGAGAAGAGGGAGGGAGACAGCAUAGACUGG